UAUAAUCAGAAUGAUUACAUUCUGUACGUCACAACUGUGUAAGUUCAAAUGACAAAAAUCUCAGCAAAACAAUGGUAUCAGGCAGUUCUGUCAUUUUUAAGCCUGAGCAAUGCGUGAGUCUUAACACUCUAAACCACUUGAUCCUUGGUACCCUAUCGCUAAGAUCCUGCCAAAAGGAGCAAGUGUCAGGGAUAAUUCAGCUCCCGAGCCAAUUGCAGUGGAAGGCAGGGAUCAUAUCAAGACCAAUUUGGAGCAGAUUAAUGAAAAAAGGCUUAAUGAGCCGUGCACCUCUCAAAGAAUGCUUGCAAAAUCCAUCCCUAAUGAGGGUGGGGAGAUAGAAAAGAUUGUGAGAAACCAGUCAGGACCAUUAACCUUGGGGUAUUACGAGAUCCUUGAGAGCCUAAUUCUUGUCACAAGGUCAAGCUUUUACAAAGCAAUUAUUAAGGAUCUCCAUAGUAUCAACAUACAGACACACACCCACACGUACUCAAAGCCUUUUAACCUCAGGGAUUCUGGACCCAUUUCCCUUCUCCUACUAGUAACUGUAUUUUCCCCCUCUCACCUCCUGCCCCCACCCCACUUUCCUUGCUCAUGUUAUGGUACCUAUACGGAUGAUGUAUCUCCCGGUUUGUGCAAGUGAUCUAAUUGUACUAGUCAGUCAUUGCUCAAACAAAAGGGGAGAACCAAGGUUUUAUUUAUUAUUUCAGCUCUGCCUUUCCCUCGGCGUGACUAGUGUGCCUCUCUGUUGGAAUGCAGAAAGAAAGGAAAAUUCUCAUCUCUGCCAUAGUGGGCCUCCUGUUCUAACUUAAAUCUUGAACGAGGGCAGGUUGGCAUUAGUGCCUACUGCCAAUUUGAAUUUUUCCAAAGUACAAGAAAAUACUCGGCCAUGAGUGAGCAACUUCAAGCAGUGUAUUAGUCAUGUCUUCUUCUGAUCCACACAUAUAUGGAAAGUAGAAUGCUGGAUAAAAAGAGAAAAAUACAAUCUUAAUUCAGAGCCUAUAGUGUGACAGUGAAGUCUGACAUGACGACUACUAGAAUUUCUGCUCUUGCAACUAAGGUAUAGAAUUUUAUAAAUCUCAUUACAGAGUUGCAGAGCUCGGCUAACAGUUUGACAGCUGGAUUGUGCUGCUGUCAGUUUAUUAGUGAGCAGGCAUUCUCAUUAAAAUCACUGGGAGCAAAUAAGCUAAAAUGUGAUGUGUUUAGGAGUAGCAGAGUCUGUCCUUUCAUGGAGAUGAUUAGGAAUUCUUCUUGGGCAACAGCUCUGGGAUUUGCUCUGGUCACAGGGGUCACUUCAAUGGAAAUAAAAUCAUACAGGCAGUAUGUUAACUCUUCUGCAGAGUGAAAUACAGAGUUAAGUAUUGGACAGUGCAGGAAGAAUCAUUUGUCUUGUGCAAAUACAGUCAUAUAGAUGGUCAGCUACUAAAAUGAGUACUAUAAAGCAAGAGAAGUUUAGGAGUUUCUUGUUAAAUGCUCUGUGCAAUACUAUGUCAAAGCCUGUUCAAAAUGUGAGUUUAACUUAAUUUGAUUAUUUCCUUUCUCAGAAGUCACUGUUGUAUACUGAAAUUUAUUUUAUUUUCAGAUUGGAACACUGUGUGAUCACAUUUAUAACUCUUUAAAUGUUGAAGUGUUAAGGACCAGCUACAAUUACCUGGGCUGUAGAGUUCAACAGUUUUAAAUCUGGGCUGAUAAAUUUUUAUUUUUUUUUCUCCAGAGACAGCGUCUCUAAUUCCACUUUCAUUUCUUUGUAGUAUGAGGACCUGGAGUACUUUUUCUGCUGAUUUCUUUCCAACAACCACAUCUCCUCACUGUCAUCUCCUGCUUAAAAAGGAAGAAUGUGUAGCAUUCUGCACAAAGGAAGGAUUCAAAGGAUAAAUUCAUACUGGGGUAAUUCUGUGGGACAGAGGCUUAAACGAGGCAGGAAUAAGAACAUCACGAAGCCAUGUUACCUCCUCUGUAUGCCUCUGCAGUUUGUGAUUAUUGCACCUAUCAAGGAAGUGCACAGGUAAGAAAUCAAGUGUUUUUAUUUACCACGGCACGUAUUUCUCUUGGGUAUCAUCUCUAAUGGUGUUGGACAUAGUUGAUAGGAUGAACACUGUGAUUCAGCUUUCAAAAACUUAACAAAGGACUUCUUAUGUUCAAGAUGUGAAGAAUUUCCACUGAGUUCUUUAGGAAGUUAAAAUACAGUAUUAUGUUACAGACUGAGUCAAGCAAGCCUUAAUGGUAUCCACGAGUAAUUCUGGAUGCAAACUGUGGAAUAUAAGCUUGAAUAUCUGCUUCAGUUUAAUUCUUUCAGUACUGACUGGCCCAAUUCUUCAAUAGUCAUUAUGUUCUAACAUACAGAAAUAUUGUGCAGUGUUUCAGUGGAAUAUUGGGAUGGCAAAGUGAAGGUUCUUUCAAAUUUUUUGAUAAAAAUGUUGGGGUUUUGAAGAGACUACACAGUAGAAAAUGUCAAAAAUUUCAAAUCUCAAGUGCAAUUUUCUCUCUUCUCAUGAGAAAGAUGACAGAAGCUGACAUGCUGGGGGGCUUUUAAACACUUGGAAGCAUAAAGGAGAGGAGAAAUCUUCGAAAAGAAUUCUGUAAGACGUCUCAUCUCUUUAUGUUUAAUACUUGCCUGCUGUGACAGUUUGUUUACAGCUGUCUCUAUAAAUCUCAUACAGAUUUUUAGAAGUAACCUCUAAAUUUGCAUUAAAACUAAUCUAGCCUUGGACUUUUAACAAAAUAUUGAUUAUUAUAAUUCUAUUGGAAAUAGAUUACCAUCUUGAAAAUAAUGUCUUAUUGUUGCUUAUCCUCAAGCUGUGAAAUAUUCUUUUGUCAUAAAGGAACCAUCUUGUCAUACCGGAAGGACUGUCACAUGCAUUUUUCAAUGCCACAGCAGCGGAGCCUUUGGUCGUAAUACUCAGAAAAAAAAAAAAAAAAAAAACAAAACAGGAUUGUUGUGUGGCUCACAUUUGUAACCUGCAAAAAAACUGAAACAUUAGUGGGCAUCAAAAAUUACUAAGGUCAGAUUUCAUAAAAGGGCACAGAAUGCUGUAAGACUGAUGCUAUGAAAAAUCUUAAAAGAACAGUAACACGGGUACUACUGAUAAACCAAAAAAGUCCUGGCACUGCCACAGAUAGCAAAGGGUCAGAGUCUUCAGGGCAGAAUUGGAUCAGAAGUUCCUAAAUAGUUUCAGCACGUCGGUUCAUUUCAUCAGAGAGAUGAUAGUUCAGUUAUUACCAGGUUCAGAUAUGAAUAGAGGUGAUACUCAUCGCGCCUAAGCUGAGCAGAGAAGUACCACGAAGAUGGAAUGUACAUGUCCCAAAUUCUGGGCUCGAACAGGAGUAAUGUAGAAUGCUUAGGGUUAUUACAUCUAUUCACCCAUAGCAAAAUUGUAUAGUCGUAUGCUACUUGUCUGUAGCUGGUAAAUACAGCUGAUGUGGAACAAAUCUUGUGCUUGAACACUUAGGAAUAUUUGCCAUGCCAGUGCAUCCCAAGAUCGUGUUCAGACUGGGUUUCAUCAUCCCGCUGCAAAACAAACCCAAAAUUACUCCAUUUGUAUAUUCAUUGUGUUAAUUUGAAUGUCUGUCCGUUUUCAUAUAUCGUAAAAUGAAAAUCUGUCAAGAACUAAUAAAAGGCCCAAGUACUACAAAACUAUGAUUUCGUUCAUAUUUGGUUCUAGCUGUUAGCUACGUGCAUAGAAAUACACGCGGUCAGGCUUACAGUUCAGCCGUUCCAGAGUAAAGGUAGAGAAUCUGUCUGUCAGUGUAGUUUUAAGGUGAGUGCUUCCUGGUAUUCUAAGAAGAAAUUUUUAUUUUCAGAAACUUAAAUUAUUUGGCCAAAGUAUAAAUUAACAGCGAGCUAUUUUGUGAUGCAAGAGUUGGGUAGACUGAUUUUAAAACUUAAGAGUCAACCUAUUUUCUGAAAACUGAGCACACUGAAAAACUACAUACAGAAAUAUUGAUGAUCAAGCAAGUUCUUCAGUUUUUCAGGAUGUUGAGGAUCUCUUUUUGCAUGUGUUACCCUAUUUGUACAUGUGUUCAUAGCCACCUGUGUUUUUCCUUAAAAUUCAGGUCUAUGUCAACAGCUUUCUGUACAAGAUCUCCUUCCAGCUAAACUGGAAAUUGAAAAUUUGACUUAGUGUGUGCUAUUAUGUCUGAGAAUCUGUAAUUUUAUCUGUAUUGCAUUAUUUCAUCUCUUACUUUUCAGUUCAUUUGCUGGAUGCUUAUGUGAAGUUGUGACAAAGCUGAAUGAAAAAAGGGUGUGAAACGUAGUGUUUUCGAAAGCACCUACGCGGUACCUGUUAAGAUACCAACUAUUUUUUGGCAACGUCAAAUGCCACUCCGCAAUUCUGGAGCAGAUGCUGUGGAAAGUAACGGGCGGCUGCCGCAGAAAACCCGUGUCUGAUUGCAGGAGACAGACUGGUGGGAAAGCCGUCGGCGCUGGGUUCCGGCCGCUGCGGUGGAGCCGCUUCGUGUCGCAGCGGAGGGCGGUCGCUGCUGCCUGCAGCAAGAGCCUGUGGGUUAGCAUCCUCCCCCCCGAGCAAGGACCUCCCUACACGAGCGUGCCCUUGCCGAGGUGGUAGAGCUCAAUUUGCAGUUGUAUUUGGGAUGCUGUUGUACAGCUGUUUCCUCUCACGCCGUUCAACUGUGAAUUAACAGUGUUUGAUUAAAAUGUUAUUCCGUA